GAACUAAUAAGAAGGAACCUCCCAGGAGGAUUUUGAAGACCAUCAUUAUCAAAUGCAAAAGUCUUCCUGCUGUAUGAGCAGUUUCUGAAAUGUCUGUGUUUUAUCUUCUCACUCACAGGAUUGGACUGUCGAUGUUCAGCACCAUGGACAGCUCCUGCUCUGUAUCACCUGAUCAGAUGGCAACAUUUCAACUGUUGUGCUCAGAAGAGAAGCUGUGCCGUAUGUGAGAGACACCCAGCAGAGAACAGAAGAACAGCUAGAGCACC
rnacentral:lncRNA from 1 species